rnacentral:ncRNA from 1 species
GGAACAGAUCCGGGGAGCCGUACAGCGGCUGAGAGGAAGAGCACUAUCUUCGACCCGUAAAACCUGAUCCGGAUAAUACCGGCGGAGGGAGAAUAGAAAAAAAUAAA